GACGAACGCUGGCGGCGUGCCUAAUACAUGCAAGUAGAACGCUGAAGGAGGAGCUUGCUCUUCUGGAUGAGUUGCGAACGGGUGAGUAACGCGUAGGUAACCUGCCUGGUAGCGGGGGAUAACUAUUGGAAACGAUAGCUAAUACCGCAUAACAGUAGAUGUUGCAUGACAUUUACUUAAAAGGUGCAAUUGCAUCACUACCAGAUGGACCUGCGUUGUAUUAGCUAGUUGGUGGGGUAACGGCUCACCAAGGCGACGAUACAUAGCCGACCUGAGAGGGUGAUCAGCCACCCUGGGACUGAGACACGGCCCAGACUCCUACGGGAGGCAGCAGUAGGGAAACUUGGGCAAUGGACGGAAGUCUGACCGAGAAACGCCGCGUGAGUGAAGAAGGUUUUCGGAUCGUAAAGCUCUGUUGUAAGGGAAGAAAGGGUGUGAGAGUGGAAAGUACACACUGUGACGGUAUCUUACCAAAAAGGAACGGCUAACUACGUG
rnacentral:rRNA from 1 species